rnacentral:ncRNA from 1 species
ACUUAAUAUGACAGUAUAGGUGCCUGCGAGGCUUAAUAGAUAAGCCGGUGCAAUACCGGCGCGGUCCCGCCACUGUAAUGGGGAGCAAACUCAAAAAAAAUGUCACUGAGACUAGUAGUCUACCAAGUCAAAAGCCGUAGGAUGAAUUACGCGAGAUUUUUUGUCCAGCAAGGCGGAGGAGCCGCGCAUAUCGGACAUAUGUAAGGUGACGACAACGAAGCUGGGCGGAAAAGCUCGUGAUAAGAACACUGCGGAUUUGGCUUGGUAGACUACUAGGUCUUGGGAAGGCCUGAGCCAGCGAUGAUCCAGAGCCAGGAGAACUGCCUAUAUGAUAAUCACCGUU